rnacentral:rRNA from 1 species
AACGAACGCUGGCGGCGUGCCUAAUACAUGCAAGUCGAGCGAAUGACGAGAAGCUUGCUUCUCUGAUUUAGCGGCGGACGGGUGAGUAACACGUGGGCAACCUGCCCUACAGAUCGGGAUAACUCAGGGAAACCUGGGCUAAUACCGGAUAAUCCUUCGAAUCACAUGUUUUGAAGUUGAAAGGCGCUUCGGCGUCACUGUAGGAUGGGCCCGCGGUGCAUUAGCUAGUUGGUGGGGUAACGGCCUACCAAGGCAAAGAUGCAUAGACGACCUGAGAGGGGGAACGGCCACAUUGGGACUGAGACACGGCCCAAACUCCUACGGGAGGCAGCAGUAGGGAAUCUUCCACAAUGAACGAAAGUCUGAUGGAGCAACGCCGCGUGAGUGAUGAAGGUUUUCGGAUCGUAAAACUCUGUUGUAAGGGAAGAACAAGUACGUUAGGAAAUGAACGUACCUUGACGGUACCUUGCGAGAAAGCCACGGCUAACUACGUGCCAGCCGCCGCCGUAA